GGAGCUGGUUUUUGAAAGUCGGAGUCAGAGUCGGAGUCGGAGUCGCCGUAAAUCCAUCGACUCCGCAGCCCUGUGUAGCAGCUUCACGUUCUGACACGCCGCGCUGCACUGAUGUUACUACCAGCAAGACUGUCCAGUGAUCUUCUGAAGAAGUUGACUGUUGAACCGCAAACACCGUUGGCCGCUUUUGACGCUAUCUAUACUACAGAGACCCAUUCCGGCUCCGAAAUGUUCAUGCAGACUCGUGGACGACAGUCCGGUGGUGUCCUGUGGACGAAGAUAGCAAAGCAUCUACGUGGAUGGCGCGCUGGGCGGCUCGUCCGUCGCGUUACAAGACUGUGGCCUCUCUGCGCGUCACAAGACUUUUGUGUGUGGCCUCUCUGCGUGCCGCAAGACCAGGUGGACUCGCCGCUGCGUUGGCUAUGGCGGGGGCCGGCGGCGGUGUGCAACGCGACUGCUGUGUGGCCUCUCAGUCUGCGUGCCGCGCCGCUGCGCUGGCUGUGGCGGGAGCCGGCGGCGGCGGUGCUCUGCAAAAUACCAACUGGAGCGGUCGAGCGAAUGACUCAAGGCUUCCGGACGUCAUCGGGGAUCCUGGACAUGGCUUUGCAAAUCAUGCAGAUCAGAUCUGCGCUUCCUAUCGAGUCUUGCCCCUGCGGAGGUGAUGCGGCGCCAAGCCGCCGAGGCGUCCUGACCGGCGGGCUUGUCACCCAAAGCUUAACGGAGGCAUGGUGGCGCUAAGGACGGUCGGCGCGGCACGGUCUGUCACGGGAUUGACAGUGUUGCAUGGAGUGAACCCUUUGGUGGAAAUAGGGUGCUGGUCGGGGUGAUAACCUAACUUUGAAUGCGAUAGUUGCGAGGAUGAUCAGAUGAUAGAUAAGAGCGGGAAGCGGGGAGGAAUUACACCGGUGCUAGGUUAAGUUCGUUAUGAUCAAAGUAUAACUGUGAUAAUUGUACGAUUCAUUUGCUGUGCAGUUGGUCAUUGUGACGUUCAUCCCCCCUCUCCCGUAGCCGUAUGUAUGAGAACGAUAGUUCCGGUGAGUUUUAACUAACAUUUGUUAUCUAUCAUGAUGGAUGUAUUUGUUUGGCGGACUUGUCUGUACUUUAAACGCGACCUGUGUGCUUCCCCUACCGCGAUAUUACUGAUAUACCUAUUCGAAUGCCAUGAAUUUCACGCAUCAGACGUAACUGUGGUGACUUUAUUGUGAACAUAAGUUACUACGAUUGGCGGGCAACACAUCCCCACUAUAUAGUUUUGGUGACCAAUGAUCAUUCAUAUUCGUGAUCGUGGUAACCUCGGUAAUUUGCCGUUUGUGAGACUGUUCGGCGCGGUGAGAGCUGUAUCUGCAGAGCUGAGUUCGGACCGAGCAUGUUGGUUCUGCGCUGUUGGUUGCUACUCUGUGCUCGUGGUAAAUUCACAUCAUUUAUAAUUGAAUGACAACUCAAGUUUCGCCUCAGUUUUGCGUGUGAGUGCUGAAGCUUAGUU